CAUAGAUAGAGAUAAACUGUAAACAGCAAAAAUGUUCAGUAAAGUAAGAUCUACAAAUAAGUCAAACAGGACCAAAAUGGUCUGUUGACCCCUUUAGGAGUUAUUGCCCUUUAUAGUCAAUUUUUAACCAUUUUUCGUAAAUCUUAGUCAUCUUUUACAAAAAUCUUCUCCUCUACAACUACUGGGCCAAAUUAAACCAAACUUGGCCACAAUCAUCAUUGGGGUAUCUAGUUUAAAAAUUGUGUCCGGUGACCUGGCCAACCAACCAAGAUGGCCGCCAUGGCUAAAAAUAGAACAUAGGGG
rnacentral:lncRNA from 1 species